UACAGAGGUCUCGAGCGUUGUUCGGAUUCAUUGGGCGUAAAGGGUGCGUAGGUGGCCCUGUAAGUCGGGUGUGAAAUCCUGAGGCUUAACCUCGGAACUGCAUUCGAUACUGCGGUGCUUGAGGACUGGAGAGGAGACUGGAAUUCAUGGUGUAGCAGUGAAAUGCGUAGAGAUCAUGAGGAAGACCAGUGGCGAAGGCGGGUCUCUGGACAGUUCCUGACACUGAGGCACGAAGGCCAGGGGAGCAAACGGG
rnacentral:rRNA from 1 species